rnacentral:rRNA from 1 species
CCUACGGGCGGCAGCAGUGGGGAAUAUUGGACAAUGGGGGGAACCCUGAUCCAGCGACGCCGCGUGAGUGAAGAAGUAUUUCGGUAUGUAAAGCUCUAUCAGCAGGGAAGAAAGAAAUGACGGUACCUGACUAAGAAGCCCCGGCUAACUACGUGCCAGCAGCCGCGGUAAUACGUAGGGGGCAAGCGUUAUCCGGAUUUACUGGGUGUAAAGGGAGCGGAGACGGCGAUGCAAGUCUGAAGUGAACGGCGGGGGCCCAACCCCCGGACUGCUUUGGAAACUGUAUGGCUGGAGUGCAGGGGAGGUAAGUGGAAUUCCUAGUGUAGCGGUGAAAUGCGUAGAUAGUAGGAGGAACACAGUGGCGAAGGCGGCUUACUGGACUGUAACUGACGUUGAGGCUCGAAAGCGUGGGGAGCAAACAGGAUUAGAUACCCGUGUAGUC